CUAAGUUUGAUGGCGACCGGCGCACGGGUGAGUAACACGUAUCCAACCUGCCGAUGACUCGGGGAUAGCCUUUCGAAAGAAAGAUUAAUACCCGAUGGCAUAGUUCUUCCGCAUGGUGGAACUAUUAAAGAAUUUCGGUCAUCGAUGGGGAUGCGUUCCAUUAGGUUGUUGGCGGGGUAACGGCCCACCAAGCCUUCGAUGGAUAGGGGUUCUGAGAGGAAGGUCCCCCCACAUUGGAACUGAGACACGGUCCAAACUCCUACGGGAGGCAGCAUGG
rnacentral:rRNA from 1 species